rnacentral:rRNA from 1 species
UGGGGAAUUUUGGGCAAUGGGGGAAACCCUGGCCCAGCAACGCCGCGUGAAGGAUGAAGUAUUUCGGUAUGUAAACUUCGAAAGAAUAGGAAGAAUAAAUGACGGUACUAUUUAUAAGGUCCGGCUAACUACGUGCCAGCAGCCGCGGUAAUACGUAGGGACCAAGCGUUGUUCGGAUUUACUGGGCGUAAAGGGCGCGUAGGCGGCAUGACAAGUCACUUGUGAAAUCUCUGGGCUUAACCCAGAACGGCCAAGUGAUACUGUCGCGCUAGAGUGCAGAAGGGGCAAUCGGAAUUCUUGGUGUAGCGGUGAAAUGCGUAGAUAUCAAGAGGAACACCUGAGGUGAAGACGGGUUGCUGGGCUGACACUGACGCUGAGGCGCGAAAGCCAGGGGAGCAAACGGGGAUUAGAUACCCAGGUAGUCCCUGAGCGGGC